UCCUGACAUCUGUUACCGCUGUGGU
rnacentral:piRNA from 1 species